UAACUUCUUGGGUGCUUUUGGAUCCAUCCGUAUAAAUUUUAUAAAAAUCUUUUUUAUGAUCUAAUAUUCUAAGCAGUUCUGUUUUACUAUUGAUAUCGAGAAUAAUUGUAAAUUUUUUUUCCCAAAUGCUUUCAAAUUUAUAUCCAUAAAUAGGCCAUAGAGAGCUAGAAUAGACAGAUUUUGAGAUAUUUAUCGUUAAAUGUAAAAUAGCUGACAUUUGCGGAAGCAUUGCAGAAUUUAUUGAUUGAGCGUUAAUAAUAUUUGUAGAAGACAUUAUACAACUCGAUAAUUCUUCUACUAACGUUAACUUCCUAACAGGUAUUUUUAAUUCACUCAAAACUCUGAUCAAUUGAAACAGGUUCACAUUAUCAUAUGCACCCUCAACAUCCAGAAAUACACAUAUUGCAUUAGAGUGAGCAAAGAUAGAAUUUUUGAUGUCAGCAAUGAAUGAAACGAAGCCUUCAACUGCACUUUUACCUUUUCUGAAACCUAGUUGAUAAUCAGGU